AAAUAGCAUAAUUGAUAGAGGAGCCUGUGUAAGGAGUUGUGAGUGUGAGAGGGCAUGAGUUAGAAUUUCAUGUUUCUUACGUUUAGUAUUUUUUCCCUUUUAUUUAUUUUACUUUAUUUCUAACUUUUCUAUUUAUUUUCAAAACUACAAAAUAAUCACAAAAAUAGCAUUUUUUAUUACUUAAUUAUUAAUUUUCGUAUUUUUAUUUAAAGAUAUUUUUAAAUAUUAUUUUUUCAUUAAAAUCAUGAUUUUAUGAAUAAAAUUUC
rnacentral:lncRNA from 1 species